AGCUUGGACUCGUUUAAAUUUGGACAUGAGCGAUUCCCAGAAAUCCUACGGGGAAAUGUUACCGCCAGCAGCCUUAGCACUGGAUCGUUAGCCAUAUUCGGUUCAGGAACGGCAACUGAUGGAAAAAUUUGCAGAAUCAAUCCGAGUAUUUAAGGAUCCAUCGCAGCGCCAGACAUCCUUCAAGCUCGUUUCAGACCAGUUGUUGUUAAAAACGCCAUGCAUUGGACUUUGAUCAGAGCUGACGAAAAUUAUUUACCACCCCAAAACAAGAAAUUCCAAAACAAUAAUCGCUCGACCAAUUCGGAAGCAAUUACCUUCGACGGAAGUCAAUUCAUGUUCCCAUAAGCUCACUGAGACGAGCGAUCGCAAACUACCAGCCAGUAUGUAACAAGGCACAAUUAGCAAGUUAGUCGGUUAUCCACUCAGGGCAUUCCCCCAAAUAUUAUUGCGGGCCCUGCUGGAGUUGGUAAAAACAUAACGAUCCCCUGCUUGGUUCGCAUUCUGCUGGCUGAAAAUUUUCGGGAAGUCGCAAUCGAGCUGAAUGCUUCCAGCGUACGUAUGUGGUCCGGAACAAGAUUGAAAUGUUCGCUCAAUAGAAGGUUACUCCCAAGUUUGUUAUUUCGAACGAAGCCGAUAGCAUGGCCGAGGAUGCUCAGCAAGCGGGAUGUCGAUUGGAUUGCGGAUCAUUUCCUGAGCUACGGAUUAAUAAGAACUAAAAGUUGCUGCCAAGGUGCGAGGUGUUUGAAAUCCUCUUGAUUUGAUUUGUUGACACUAUAAACACUCGAUUCUAUUCUAGGUUCCUUGGCAUUUCAACAUGAUAGGUAACACCGUCAACACAGAAUCCCAAAGCACUCUUAGAUGAUAUAAUCUACUGAGGAUUGUGAUGGCCUACUGUGUUCGAACUGCGGUGAUAGAGAUGGAGGUCUUGACGAUGGGCUCGAAUAUGAUAAUGAUAUAUAUACAAAGGAUUGUGUUAGUAGAAAUACCACAGAGAAAUACUAAAUCUAUCGAAUCAUCGAUUGUUUCAUUUUGGUUGUUGCAACGAAUCACAUGAAACCUCUGCAUCUCAUAACUGUAACCAAAGUGACGCAACGGUAUCAUCUAAUAUGAACUAUGAUUUAUGGUAAAGAUGUUCCCCACAGAGUUUUCGAGAACAUCGAGAACGAAAAAAAUGGGUCACGUAAGACUCUUUCUAUCAGCUACGAUAAAGGUUCCACAACCGUAGAAUCAUUGAAUAUCAGAAAUUACGAUGAUCGUUUUGAUCAUGGGUCAUGUGUCACAGUCUGGACAGAGAUUCAAGCUUAACGGUUUGUCUGAGCAGGAUAGUUUCAAAGAAUUAGACAUCACCGUAAUUAAUGGACAGUGUACGCAGAAGCUGCUUAAUAUGAGUGAAGCACCGAAAAACCAAAAGUCAACCCAAUUGAGAGCUGAAGAGAAGAACCUCAGUAUCAUGGCUUAUUUAAAAAUAUUUUACGAUCUGAAGUGGCCGAAAACAUAUAAAGUUUUAAAAUCGUUGAAUAUCUGGAUUCUCAGGCCGCCUCUUGUUAAAAAUAAAUUCAGAAUUGAAUUGGAUCGAAAGGGAGGGAGCUUAAUCAGUUUGAGAAGUCGGUUACCAAUUCCUACAUCAAAUAAUAAACCUCUGAUGAUCGAUCUUCUUAUGACAACCUUUUCGGAUCAGCACGGCCAGGGUACCUGAACUUUCUUACUCCUAAGUUUUUCCCAGCCAAGCAACUGUUGCUGAUAACGUCGAUUCUAAUAUUCCGGAAUUUCGUGCCAUCACCACCGUUCGGCUUAAAAUUGUUUAAAACGCAUCACCGGCUCCAUAACAGCUCAACAGUGCAAAGAAAAGAUGGAAGAAGCCAUAUUUUGCUCCCUACUUUUGUCGGUGGAUGAAUCCCUCGAGCAAACGUACGAUCGCCCGAUGGAAGUUUGUUUUUUUGGCAUCAGCAAUGAUAUAGCGAUUCCCAUCCGCAGAAUGAUUCCAGUAUUAUGACUUCUUAUAGCCAUAUGGCUUUUAACAAACCGCGUUAAAGUUUGGAAUUAUAUUGGGGCUCGAGGAAAAUGCAUUUCGAAAAAUGCAAUGAUAAUUGCUUGUUGUAGUAAUUACUUUUUAUUUGAUUACGAUUAUUUUGAUAAAAUUGUGGAACAAAAAAUAAACAUUGAAAAAAUAAAAAUUUAAUUUUUUUUUAAACUGAAUGAUUGGCAACCCUGAAAACGGCUCAAAAAUCCUUGCGGAUUCGGUCCGAAAUCGGUCUUUUUUUUGGGAUGGACGCUAUAGCAAUCGACCCAGAAACGGUUCGAAAAAUCGUUCGGAUUCGGUCCGAAAUCGGUCCUUUUUUCGGAUGAAUGCUAUGGCAAUCGACCCAGAAACGGUUCGAAAACCCGUUUGGUUUCGGUCCGAAAUCGGUUCUUUAUAU